GACGAACGCUGGCGGCGUGCUUAACACAUGCAAGUCGAACGGAAAGGCCCUGCUUUUGUGGGGUGCUCGAGUGGCGAACGGGUGAGUAACACGUGAGUAACCUGCCCUUGACUUUGGGAUAACUUCAGGAAACUGGGGCUAAUACCGGAUAGGAGCUCCUGCUGCAUGGUGGGGGUUGGAAAGUUUCGGCGGUUGGGGAUGGACUCGCGGCUUAUCAGCUUGUUGGUGGGGUAGUGGCUUACCAAGGCUUUGACGGGUAGCCGGCCUGAGAGGGUGACCGGCCACAAUGGGACUGAGGUACGGCCCAGACUGCUACGGGAGGCAGCAGGGGGGAAUAUUGCACAAUGGGCGGAAGCCUGAUGCAGCGACGCCGCGUGCGGGAUGACGGCCUUCGGGUUGUAAACCGCUUUCGCCUGUGGCGAAGCGUGAGUGACGGUAAUGGGUAAAGAAGCACCGGCUAACUACGUG
rnacentral:rRNA from 1 species